rnacentral:rRNA from 1 species
UACGUAGGGGGCGAGCGUUGUUCGGAAUCAUUGGGCGUAAAGCGCGUGUAGGCGGUCCGGUAAGUCCGCUGUGAAAGUCGGGGGCUCAACCCUCGGAUGCCGGUGGAUACUGUCGGGCUUGAGUACGGAAGAGGCGAGUGGAAUUCCUGGUGUAGCGGUGAAAUGCGCAGAUAUCAGGAGGAACACCAAUUGCGAAGGCAGCUCGCUGGGACGUUACUGACGCUGAGACGCGAAAGCGUGGGGAGCAAACAGG